UACGGAGGGGGCGAGCGUUAUUCGGAAUUAUUGGGCGUAAAGGGCGCGCAGGCGGCUGCUCAAGUCAGGCGUGAAAGGCCUGGGCUCAACCCGGGAAUUGCGCUUGAGACUGGGCUGGCUUGAGUGCGGGAGAGGAUGGUGGAAUUCCCAGUGUAGAGGUGAAGUUCGUAGAUAUUGGGAAGAACACCGGUGGCGAAGGCGGCCAUCUGGACCGCAACUGACGCUGAGGCGCGAAAGCGUGGGGAGCAAACAGG
rnacentral:rRNA from 1 species